rnacentral:ncRNA from 1 species
AGUUUGGCACGCGGGAGCUGGGUAACAUGGUCCGGCUGAGAGGAUGCUGCCUGAAGCAUCGACCGUAAGAACCUGUACUGGAUAAUGCCAGCGUAGGGAGAGGAAGCCAACAUCGG